rnacentral:lncRNA from 9 species
CAAAACCAGAUAUGGUUUCAAUUAACCAGGCUCAUAUAUCUCUAGACUACAUAGAUGAGCAACAAAUUUCUUAGCAAAGUUACAUGUUCCAUCUUCAGCUCAUCUGAAUAGAAUAUUUUAAUUUUUUGGCCACAUUUGAGGCAUGUGGAAGUUCACAGGCCAGAGAUCGAUCCCACACCACAGCAGUGACCCAAGUGGCUCCAGUAACAAUGCUAGACCCUUAACCAUCUGUGGCACUGGAGAACUCCUAGAAUACUUUAAUUUUCAUAUCAUCCCUUAGCAUUAUUACAAAACAACCAAAUACACUGUAUUUUCAAAACCCACUGGAUAUCCAAAGCCCUCAUAGUUUUCUGCUUGUCAAAAAUCUUUGCCCCAUUUCUACUAUUUUUUUGUCAAAACCCAUUCUCUUUCUGUCUUCUUCUCUGUCAUUAACUUCACCUGCAGUUUUUGAUAAGCCUCAAAUACUGGAUAUGCCUUUAAAUAUCUGAGGAAGUACAUCUCUUCUCAAGCUCUUUCUGAAAUAGCUCUAAAUAAAGCUAUUUAUGUCUACCAUUGAACUAUAGGACUUCAAUCCUGAUUUAUUAUUUGACCUCUAGAUUUUUAUCUCCAACUACUGACCCUACAUACUCACUUAGGUGUUUGUAUAUCCAUGUCAAAUGUUGCACUGAAAAAGAGACAUGCACCCCUAUGUUCGCUGCAGCACUACUCAAAACAGCCAAGACAUGGAAACAAUCUAAAUGUCCAACAAGGACAGAUGAAUGCAUUAACAAGACAUGGUACAUAUAAACAAUGGAAUACUACUCAGCCAUAAAAAAUAAUGUCAUUUUCAGCAACAUGUAUGGAGCUGGAGACUUUCAUGCUAAGUGAAGUGAGUCAAGUCAAAAAAAGAAAGACAAAUACCACAUGAUAGCACAUAUUUGGAAUCUAAUAUAUGGCACAAAUGAACUUGUCUACAGAAAAUAAACAAACUCAUGGACAUGGAGAACAGGCUUGUGGUUGCCAAGGGAGGGGGAGGGGCAGGAGGAGGAAGUGGGAUGGACUGGAAGUUUGGGGUCAAUAGAUACAAACUAUUGCAUUUGGAAUGGAUAAGCUAUGACAUCCUGCUGUACAGCACAGGGAACUAUGCUCAAUCACUUGUGAUAGAACAUGGCAGAGGAUAAUGCAAAAAAAGAAUAUAUAUAUAUAUAUAAAACUGGGUCACUUUGCAGUACAGAAGAAACUGACAGACCAUUAUAAAUCAACUAUAAUAAAAUCAUUUUUAUAAAUCAAAAAAGUUCCCAUGACACACCAUUUGUUUACCCAUCCCCUUCGAAUGCUCUAAUUCAAGCCCCAACCUCAAUUUAGAAUACAUGUUAUCUACACAUUUAUUGAAGACAUACAUUUCAAAAGUAUUCUAUCUCUCAUUCACUCUCUCAGGCUCCCUACCAGCCAGACUUUUGACUGUGAGACUGCAUUUUAUUAUUUCAACAGUUUUCCCAUGACUACUCCAGUCCAAGCUGCUAUAUGUGUACUUUCCUUUAAAUAAUUCAAAAGGCUCCUAAUUAAUUAACCUCUUUCCACUCCUGUGUCUCAAUAGUCAAUUUCCACCAAGCGUACAGAGUAAAACUUUCAAACUAAGUCAUUUAAGCCAUUCUUCUACAAUAAAAUAAUAAUUAAAGGACAAAUCAAAAUACAAAAACAAAAACAAACAAACAAAAACCCAAAGCAACAGUACAUAUUAGUAUCUUCCCAUAGACAAAAUCCAAAGUCUUAUUGUGGAUUUCAAUGACUCAAGAGUCUGAGGGUCCUAACUGCCUCACCAUCCACAUCAGCCACAAAAGGGGAGCCAACCCUUUUGCUCCACUCACAAAGGCCAUGCUGUUUUUCUAUUAUUUAAACACUUCAAUCUUAUUUCCAUCUCAGGUAGGCUGUAUUUGCUGUUCAUGAUGCCUACAAAGCAGUUAUCUUGAGUCUAUUAGUGGGUGGUCCCUGUAUGUCAGUGGGGUCUCAGUUCUACUCAGGAGUUCCUAUACACCCUGAGGCAUGCAUUUCUCUCCCUUUCUUCCUCCCUCUCUCCUUCCCACCUCCCCUUCCCCCCUUUUUCCCCUCUUCCAUACCCCCCACCCCUCAUUUCCAUCUGACCAAAAUCUUAUGUUGCUUAGUGAUUUCUGAGAGGCAGAACCUGUUUCCUAAUAAAGAAAACCCCAGAUAUUCAUUUCCUCAGUUUCCUGAAGGCCACAUUGAUCCAAUCUGAGCUAAUUAGAUUCACACUUUGAAUCAAGUGCUCUGGCAACAACCAGGACAAGGGAAAAUGCAUUCUGAGAGGUGUAGCAGCAGCAACACAGGGUUUCCUAGGACUGCAGCACCAGCAGGGCCAGAGAGCACAUUGUGUCCUCAGAGCCAGGAGCCACCUGGGCAGGAUACUGGUGCAAAGGCUUGCCUCCACCUAUGGAUAUGCCUGCCUAGUAUCCCUCAUUCCGGUGCCAUUUUUCUGAGCCCAAGUUCUGCAGGCUUCUCCAGAAUUCUCUGACUUCUUCAACAUUAUAUAUACCAAUUUUGUGUCUAAAUGAAAGGCAGCUUCAAUUGCUUGUCAAUACACAUCUCCAUGGUCAUUCUCUAGUCCAUUACUCAAUUUUAUGUUCUUCAGACAAUGUAUUCAAAACUAAAAUCCUCUUAUGUAUUGAUUUGUGUGUUUGGUUUUUGUGCAUUUUCAACUUUUAAUUCUAGGUCUGACAUGGCAUUAAAGACGCUCGUAUACAGGAGUUCCCGUCGUGGCGCAGUGGUUAACGAAUCCGACUAGGAACCAUGAGCCACGACAGGAACUCCAAAGAUGGAUAUUCUAUCCCAGCAGAUAUACCAUUAAAGAGAAUUUGAAAAACUGAAGAGGGUUUUAUUUAUUUCUUUCUUUAUUUUUGUUGAGGCAGUAUUAUUUAUUUUUUUUUUAUUUUUUGUCUUUUUUGUCUUUUGUUGUUGUUGCUAUUUCUUGGGCCGCUCCCGCGGCAUAUGGAGGUUCCCAGGCUAGGGGUUGAAUCGGAGCUGU